rnacentral:rRNA from 1 species
CGGACGACGCUGGCGGCGCGCCUAACACAUGCAAGUCGAACGAGCGAGAGAGAGCUUGCUUUCUCGAGCGAGUGGCGAACGGGUGAGUAACGCGUGAGGAACCUGCCUCAAAGAGGGGGACAACAGUUGGAAACGACUGCUAAUACCGCAUAAGCCCACGACCCGGCAUCGGGUUGAGGGAAAAGGAGCAAUCCGCUUUGAGAUGGCCUCGCGUCCGAUUAGCUAGUUGGUGAGGUAAUGGCCCACCAAGGCGACGAUCGGUAGCCGGACUGAGAGGUUGAACGGCCACAUUGGGACUGAGACACGGCCCAGACUCCUACGGGAGGCAGCAGUGGGGAAUAUUGCACAAUGGGGGAAACCCUGAUGCAGCGACGCCGCGUGGAGGAAGAAGGUCUUCGGAUUGUAAACUCCUGUUGUUGAGGAAGAUAAUGACGGUACUCAACAAGGAAGUGACGGCUAACUACGUG